GGAGAGGGGCCUUCAGCCGCUGCCCUGCCAGAGGGUGAUCCCGCCACCACAAGGCCAAGCUAGCAAAGAUGGCAGCACCAUCAAGCACAUGGUGGGCCCCGGCUGACAGCUCGGUCCAGCGACGCUGCAGGCGUCCUCCAGUGUAGACCGGAGUCACGGCGCUCAGCCCAGCGCCGCGGAGUCGGUGGAUUUUCCGUGACUCCGACUCCGACUCUGGACAGCCUCCUUAGCCCUCGCCGUCCAAGUGGUGGAGUGCUGGUGUGGCGCCGGGUAGAGCCGGAGAGGGGCCUUCAGCCGCUGCCCUGCCAGACGGUGAUCCCGCCACCACAAGGCCAAACUAGCAAAGAUGGCAGCACCAUCAAGCACAUGGUGGGCACCGGCUGACAGCUCGGUCCAGCGACGCUGCAGGCGUCCUCCAGUGUAGACCGGUGUCACGGCACUCCGCCCAGCGCCGCGGAGUCGGUGGAUUUUCCGUGACUCCGACUCCGACUCUGGACAGCCUCCUUCGCCCUCGCUGUCCAUGGUGCGCUGUGCCGCAGUCGCCGCCGCUGGAGACAGGCGCCGACGGCGGGCAGCGAGACUGCCGCUGCUGAGUGUCGGCCGGCUCGCGAUUUUCCUAAGUGUGGAACUGCCCAUACCUAAGGUUUAUGAUUGGCGCAAGCUUCGCCGAGAUGACGUUACAGGCUGUGACGUCCUGGCUCACAGUCGGCUGACCAAUCGCUGCACGAUUAUAGGCUAGCGGCGCGCGGCACUAGCGCCUCUGGUGUUAUUAUGGGAAGUUGAGCAAUUACAUUAAAAUCUAAUGCAUAGCUUGUGUUGGGAACAAUUAUGUAUUACUAAGGCGUCAAUGUCUCACAAAUUAAUUCGUCCAUGCUCCUCACAUUUUGCAAAGUGAC